rfam:Ancylostoma duodenale strain Zhejiang A_duodenale-1.0_Cont2765.1, whole genome shotgun sequence.
GUCUCUAUAGCUCAGUGGCAGGGCGUCUGCCUCGUAAACAGAAGGUUUGAAGUUCAGUCCUGCAUGGAGGCA